rnacentral:rRNA from 1 species
UACGGAGGGGGCUAGCGUUGUUCGGAAUUACUGGGCGUAAAGCGCACGUAGGCGGCUUCGCAAGUCAGGGGUGAAAGCCCGGGGCUCAACCCCGGAACUGCCUUUGAGACUGCGUCGCUUGAAUCCGGGAGAGGCGGGUGGAAUUCCUGGUGUAGAGGUGAAAUUCGUAGAUAUUUGGAAGAACACCAGUGGCGAAGGCGGCCCGCUGGACCGGUAUUGACGCUGAGGUGCGAAAGCGUGGGGAGCAAACAGG